UGAGCAGAUCGGGCGGUCGCGUGCGCACGGCGAAAGCCGGCGUAUGAGGAAAGUCCGAGCAUCAUAGGGCAAGGAUAACGGCUAACGGCCGCCGGGGGUGACCCUAGGGAAAGUGCAACAGAGAUAUACCGCCUGUGCUUCGGCGCAGGUAAGGGUGGAAAGGCGAGGUAAGAGCUCACCGGUGUGCGGGGAACCGCACAGCCCUGUAAACCCUAUCCGAUGCAACAUCGUGGAGGGGCAAUAUGCGGUGGCCCGCCGCGCCCCGGGGAGAUGGCUUGAGCCGUAUGGCAACAUACGGUCGAGAUAGAUGAUCGCCGCGGCGGCUUCGUCCGCCGAACAGAACUCGGCUUACAGAUCUGGUCACGCA
rnacentral:RNase_P_RNA from 1 species